AUGGAGACUCUGUCUCCCCUCUCCAUUACUACUGUCUGUCUACUGUCUCUCCUCUCCAUUACUACUGUCUGUCUACUGUCUCUCCUCUCCAUUACUACUGUCUGUCUACUGUCUCUCCUCUCCAUUACUACUGUCUGUCUACUGUCUCUCCUCUCCAUUACUACUGUCUGUCUACUGUCUCUCCUCUCCAUUACUACUGUCUGUCUACUGUCUCUCCUCUACAUUACUACUGUCUGUCUACUGUCUCUCCUCUACAUUACUACUGUCUGUCUACUGUCUCUCCUCUACAUUACUACUGUCUGUCUACUGUCUCUCUUCUCCGGUAAUACUGUCUGUCUACUGUCUCUCCUCUCCAUUACUACCGUCUGUCUACUGUCUCUCCUCUCCAUUACUACUGUCUGUCUACUGUUUCUCCUCUCCAGUAAUACUGUCUGUCUACUGUCUCUCCUCUAUGGUAAUACUGUCUGUCUACUGUCUCUCCUCUCUGGUAAUACUGUCUGUCUACUGUCUCUCCUCUCCGGUAAUACUGUCUGUCUACUGUCUCUCCUCUCCGGUAAUACUGUCUGUCUACUGUCUCUCCUCUCUGGUAAUACUGUCUGUCUACUGUCUCUCCUCUACAUUACUACUGUCUGUCUACUGUCUCUCCUCUCUGGUAAUACUGUCUGUCUACUGUCUCUCCUCUCCGUUACUACUGUCUGUCUACUGUCUCUCCUCUCUGGUAAUACUGUCUGUCUACUGUCUCUCCUCUCCAUUACUGCUGUCUGUCUACUGUCUCCCCUCUCCAUUACUGCUGUCUGUCUACUGUCUCCCCUCUCCAUUACUACUGUCUGUCUACUGUCUCCCCUCUCCAUUACUACUGUCUGUCUACUGUCUCUCCUCUCCAUUACUACUGUCUGUCUACUGUCUCUCCUCUCCAUUACUACUGUCUGUCUACUGUCUCUCCUCUCCAUUACUACUGUCUGUCUACUGUCUCUCCUCUCCAUUACUACUGUCUGUCUACUGUCUCUCCUCUCCAUUACUACUGUCUGUCUACUGUCUCUCCUCUACAUUACUACUGUCUGUCUACUGUCUCUCCUCUCCAUUACUACUGUCUGUCUACUGUCUCUCCUCUCCAUUACUACUGUCUGUCUACUGUCUCUCCUCUACAUUACUACUGUCUGUCUACUGUCUCUCCUCUACAUUACUACUGUCUGUCUACUGUCUCUCCUCUCCAUUACUACUGUCUGUCUACUGUCUCUCCUCUCCAUUACUACUGUCUGUCUACUGUCUCUCCUCUACAUUACUACUGUCUGUCUACUGUCUCUCCUCUCCAUUACUACUGUCUGUCUACUGUCUCUCCUCUCCAUUACUACUGUCUGUCUACUGUCUCUCCUCUCCAUUACUACUGUCUGUCUACUGUCUCUCCUCUCCAUUACUACUGUCUGUCUACUGUCUCUCCUCUCCAUUACUACUGUCUGUCUACUGUCUCCCCUCUCCAUUACUACUGUCUGUCUACUGUCUCUCCUCUCCAUUACUACUGUCUCUCUCCUCUCCAUUACUACUGUCUGUCUACUGUCUCUCCUCUCCAUUACUACUGUCUGUCUACUGUCUCUCCUCUCCAUUACUACUGUCUGUCUACUGUCUCCCCUCUCCAUUACUACUGUCUGUCUACUGUCUCUCCUCUCCAUUACUACUGUCUGUCUACUGUCUCUCCUCUCCAUUACUACUGUCUGUCUACUGUCUCUCCUCUCCAUUACUACUGUCUGUCUACUGUCUCUCCUCUACAUUACUACUGUCUGUCUACUGUCUCUCCUCUCCGUUACUACUGUCUGUCUACUGUCUCUCCUCUCCAUUACUACUGUCUGUCUACUGUCUCUCCUCUCCGGUAAUACUGUCUGUCUACUGUCUCUCCUCUCCGGUAAUACUGUCUGUCUACUGUCUCUCCUCUCUGGUAAUACUGUCUGUCUACUGUCUCUCCCCUACAUUACUACUGUCUGUCUACUGUCUCUCCUCUCCGGUAAUACUGUCUGUCUACUGUCUCUCCUCUCCGGUAAUACUGUCUGUCUACUGUCUCUCCUCUCCGGUAAUACUGUCUGUCUACUGUCUCUCCUCUCUGGUAAUACUGUCUGUCUACUGUCUCUCCUCUCUGGUAAUACUGUCUGUCUACUGUCUCUCCUCUCCGUUACUACUGUCUGUCUACUGUCUCUCCUCUCCGGUAAUACUGUCUGUCUACUGUCUCUCCUCUCCGUUACUACUGUCUGUCUACUGUCUCUCCUCUCCGUUACUACUGUCUGUCUACUGUCUCUCCUCUCCGUUACUACCGUCUGUCUACUGUCUCUCCUCUCCGUUACUACUGUCUCUCCUCUCCGUUACUACUGUCUCUCCUCUCCGUUACUACUGUCUCUCCUCUCCGUUACUACUGUCUCUCCUCUCCGUUACUACUGUCUGUCUACUGUCUCUCCUCUCUCUUCCUUCUGUCUAUUGUCUCUCCCCUCCCCAUCACUACCGUUUGUCUACUGUCUCUCUCCUCUUCGUUACUAUUGUCUAUCUACUGUCGCUCCCCUCUCCAUUAUUACCGUUUGUUUACUGUCGCUCCCCUCUCCAUUACUACCGUUUGUUUACUGUCUCUCCCCUCUCCAUUAA
rnacentral:lncRNA from 8 species